rnacentral:rRNA from 1 species
UACGUAGGGGGCAAGCGUUGUCCGGAUUUACUGGGCGUAAAGCGCGUGUAGGCGGCCCGAUAAGUCCGCUGUGAAAGCCCAGGGCUCAACCCUGGGAUGCCGGUGGAUACUGUCGGGCUCGAGUCCGGAAGAGGCGAGUGGAAUUCCUGGUGUAGCGGUGAAAUGCGCAGAUAUCAGGAGGAACACCAAUGGCGAAGGCAGCUCGCUGGGACGUGACUGACGCUGAGACGCGAAAGCGUGGGGAGCAAACAGG